CAGUGUCAAUACUGUCGAUAAACAGCUGAUUGGCAUGAUCAGCUGUUUGCCGUGCUUUUAUUUUUCCAUAUUUCUUAACUAUUAAUAAACUAUUAAUGUAUAAUUGUUUCAUUUUAUAUAAAAGACCAAAAUUAGCAUUUAAAAUGGGUCUACACUGGCAAAAUGUGAGAGAAUAAAAGAAUUUAAACAUCGUCAUUUCAAAAAUUUCUAAAAGAUAGUGAGAGAAAAAUUAAAUGGUUUUCUCUGUUAGGAUUUAUUCAUAGCAUAAUAUUAAAAAGUCGAGCAAAAGAGAACUCAAGAACAGCUGAUUUUUUUUAUAAGGAAUUGAAGAAAAUAUUUAAAAUCUGAUGAUUUUCACAGCCAUUUAUGUCGCGAUUUGUGGUCUUUCAGUUGUUUCAACAUCACCUAGGAAAUUAACAUUAAGAUAUCAGGAUCCUGCAUAUAACGAGAUAAGAACUAUGAUCUUGUUAGGAUACCUAUUCCGUCACAAUAUGAAGUGAAGAUAUUCAUGGUGUGGAAGUCGUUACUUUAAUUACAUAGUGCAUAUGAAAUUGGUCCUUUACAUCAUGUUUAAAAUUGACGUAAUGCUACUAUGCAAAAUAGUGAGAGAUGUGAACCCUAGGCAGAGCUACAGAAUUACUUUUGUUGAGAGACAAAUUAUGAUAGUGAUUAGAAUCGCAUAUUCUAGACUUUUACUUAAAAAAUGAUUUGUUCGGAAUGAACUUUUAUAGUGUGGAGGAAUACCUGCAAAUUAUAAUAUGAGGCCUACGUAUAUGAUAAUUUUAUUAUGAUCUGUUGUGUUUGUUUUUUUAUAUUUUGUAUUAUAUAUUUGUGUUAGCUUUAAGAAUUUAUUGACUAUUCCUAUACAAUUGUACAUUGUUUUAUGGAAAUAAAUAAAUGAUUGAUUGAUUGAAUAAGUUAGGAAACCAUACGAUCGAGAAAAAAACGGCUUCAAAGGCGACUGGGGAAUGAAAAUAUGAUAAUUUCAGUGAGGUCAAGCCCUAGAAGUCAUUUUCUUGGCUCGUACUAUUUUUUAAAGGCGCUCUAAGGUUGUAAUUUAUUUUUACAUUAAGUAAAUAUGAUUUUUAAAUGGUGUAGUUUAAGAUUGACCUCGCUAAAUUAUCAAUCGUCAUUCCUCAGCCGCCUUUGACGCCGUUUUUUUUAGACUAUUUGCUAUAACUAUGUUAUCUGUUAUGCAAAUACAUAUGUCAACAAGUAAAAAGCCAAUGAGAAAUUAGUUUCUGCUUGGAUCCUUACAGUGGCAUUUAACAAAAUAUAUAUUUUUUCAGGUUACAAUAUUUUAUUUAAUAUGAACCUGUAAAUGUAAGAAUAUUAUACAUAUAUUAUAUUUUUUACUCAGUCCCUAAAUAUAUUAUUAAAAUACAACACUUGUGUUUUUUAUUAAUAUCGUGUUAUGAUUAAUACCUAAUUAAUGUAAAAUUAUAUGGUAUGUAAAUAUCCUUACACUGAGAAUUCGUUUGGUCAAAAUAUUACUCUCUUACUAAUAUGAAUUUGAAAACUACAGAACAUUGUUUUUUUUUAGUUUUUGUGCUAAUAUUUCCACUUAAAAUUACCGAAUAUAUUUAUGGUAUAGGUAGGAAAAGAUGAAUUUUGUGCUUUUUAAUUAUACAUUAUAUUAAUUAUAUUAUUAUUGUAAAUAAUAUCUACUGAUAUUUAAUAUAAAAAAUAGUUAUUCACAUGCAUCUAUUUUUCUUUUGUAAUUAAUACUAUCUAAAUAACAAGACAUCUUAUAUAAUAGAUCCAUUAACAUUUUAGUUUAUCAAUUAUCAAUCACUAUACGAUAUACAAUACGUAUAAUAUCUUUUAAUUAUAUCUAACUUUUAAUUAUUGAAUAUUUAAUAAAC
rnacentral:lncRNA from 1 species